rnacentral:rRNA from 1 species
CAGUCGCCGCGGGAAUACGUAGGUGGCAAGCGUUGUCCGGAAUUAUUGGGCGUAAAGGGCUCGCAGGCGGUUUCUUAAGUCCGAUGUGAAAGCCCCCGGCUCAACCGGGGGAGGGUCAUUGGAAACUGGGAAACUUGAGUGCAGAAGAGGAGAGUGGAAUUCCACGUGUAGCGGCGAAAUGCGUAGAGAUGUGGAGGGACACCAGUGGCGAAGGCGACUCUCUGGUCUGUAACUGACGCUGAGGAGCGAAAGCGUGGGGAGCGAACAGGAUUAGAUACCCGGGUAGUCCCUGUCUCUUAUC